rnacentral:rRNA from 1 species
UGAGGAAUAUUGGUCAAUGGACGAGAGUCUGAACCAGCCAAGUAGCGUGCAGGAUGACGGCCCUAUGGGUUGUAAACUGCUUUUGUUUGGGAAUAAUCGACAUUACGUGUAAUGUUUUGCAUGUACCAUUCGAAUAAGGACCGGCUAAUUCCGUGCCAGCAGCCGCGGUAAUACGGAAGGUCCAGGCGUUAUCCGGAUUUAUUGGGUUUAAAGGGAGUGUCGGCGGUUGGUUAAGCGUGUUGUGAAAUGUAGAUGCUCAACAUCUGAGUUGCAGCGCGAACUGGCUGACUUGAGUACACACAACGUAGGCGGAAUUCAUGGUGUAGCGGUGAAAUGCUUAGAUAUCAUGAAGGACUCCGGUUGGGAAGGCAGCUUACGGGGGGGUUACUGACGCUUAAGCUCGCAGGUGCGGGUAUCGAACAGG